UUCUUUUUCUUUAGAGAAUUCCGCCUUUCUUAAAAUAUCAUAAACAGUUCUUGUCGGUUGAGCACCCUUUUCAAGGAAAUAGAGAAUAGCUGGAACAUUUAAACAAGUUUGAUUCUUUAUCGGAUCAUAAAAACCUACUUUUUGAAGAUCUCUUCCUUCUCUUUGAGAUCGAACAUCAAUUGCAACGAUUCGAUAGACAGCUUAUUGGGAUAGAUGUAGAUAAACAACCCACCCCCUAGAAACGUAUAGGAGGUUUUCUCCUCAUACGGCUCGAGAAAAUGAUUCGAAUUUCUGUCGAUAAUAAUAGAAAUUAGACUAUGACGUGCAUUAAUUUCCUUACAGAAAAAACAAAUUUCAUUUAUACUCAUGACUCAAGUGGGCUAAUUUUGCCUGACAAACUUCGAAGGCAAAAUCCUUCCAAAUUUUUUGAGUCGUCUUUAAACUCUUUUCUUUGGCUCAUUUCGAACGAAUUGACUUUUAUUCCUUAUUCUGAUCCAACUCUGUUGUUGAGACAAUUGAAAAUUGUGUUUACUUGUUCUGGAAUCCUUUAUCUUUGAUUUGUGAAAUCCUUGGGUUUAGACAUUACUUCGAGAAUUCCUAUUUUUUUCUUUCAAAAGAGUAGCAACAUACCCUUUUUUCUUAUUUCCUUCGAUAAAACAUUUAUCUCUUCUAUAGAAAUCUAAUAAGAGGGAUUGAUUCUGAUAUACUUUUAUUGGACUUUAUUCUUAUUUUAACCUUUCAAUUUAUUUCUAUAUUAAGGAUAGACUAACAAAGUUGGCCUAAUUUAUUAGUUUUCACUAACCCUAGAUUCUUUCCCUUGAUAAAAAAAAUUAUGUCCUCUCGAGCUCCAUCAUGUACUAUGUUACUUAAACCUAGCGCAAAUUUGGUUCGGAACGAAUAGAACAGGCUAUGUCGAGCCAAGAGCAUUUUCAUUACUAUGGAAAAUGAUGGAUAGCAAAAUCCACAAUCGAUCAUGUCCUUCAAGUCGCACGUUGCUUUCUGCCACAUCGUUUUAAACGAAGUUUUACCAUAACAAACAUUCCUCUUUUCAUUGCAAAGUGGUAUAGAGAAUUGAUCCAAUAUGGAUGGAAUCAUGAAUAGUCAUUGGUUUAGUUUUUUAUACUAAUUAAAACUUGCUAUCUAUGGAGCAAUACGGAUAAAAGAAAGUAAUUAUUUAUCCGGGAAGCCUCUGCCAAGAUCCAAUUUAUUUAAACCCAUAUUAAAAUUCUAUCAUAUGAAUGAAACAUAGUUUGAAAAAGACGACUAAACAAGUUUGCUUAAAACUUAUUUAUUCUUAAAUUUCCACCCUCAACGGAUGGCUCGAGAUGAUCUAUCUUGAAGUGAGAAGAGAAGGAUUGACUCUUCCUCAAUAAAUAAACUAUCAACCUCCAAAAAAGUUUAAUUAAUUUAAUUACUAGAAUUAGAAUUCUAG
rnacentral:lncRNA from 1 species